GGUCGUGAUCAUCAAACCGGCGUAAAGCACACCCUUGAACGGUGUGCCGCGCUUGGCGAGCGUGGCGAUUGUCGGUUCGAUAACCCGGUUCAUGACUUC
rnacentral:tRNA from 1 species